rnacentral:rRNA from 1 species
UACGUAGGGGGCAAGCGGUUGUCCGGAUUUACUGGGCGUAAAGAGCGUGUAGGCGGCCAAGCAGGUCCGUUGUGAAAACUGGAGGCUUAACCUCCAGACGUCGACGGAAACCGCGUGGCUAGAGUCCGGAAGAGGAGAGUGGAAAUUCCUGGUGUAGCGGUGAAAUGCGCAGAUAUCAGGAAGAACACCAAUGGCGAAGGCAGCUCUCUGGGACGGUACUGACGCUGAGACGCGAAAGCGUGGGGAGCGAACAGG